rnacentral:rRNA from 1 species
UGGUUAAUACCCAAGAUGAGUGGACGUUACUCGCAGAAUAAGCACCGGCUAACUCUGUGCCAGCAGCCGCGGUAAUACAGAGGGUGCGAGCGUUAAUCGGAUUUACUGGGCGUAAAGCGUGCGUAGGCGGCUUUUUAAGUCGGAUGUGAAAUCCCCGAGCUUAACUUGGGAAUUGCAUUCGAUACUGGGAAGCUAGAGUAUGGGAGAGGAUGGUAGAAUUCCAGGUGUAGCGGUGAAAUGCGUAGAGAUCUGGAGGAAUACCGAUGGCGAAGGCAGCCAUCUGGCCUAAUACUGACGCUGAGGUACGAAAGCAUGGGGAGCAAACAGGAUUAGAUACCCUGGUAGUCCAUGCCGUAAACGAUGUCUACUAGCCGUUGGGGCCUUUGAGGCUUUAGUGGCGCAGCUAACGCGAUAAGUAGACCGCCUGGGGAGUACGGUCGCAAGACUAAAACUCAAAUGAAUUGACGGGGGCCCGCACAAGCGGUGGAGCAUGUGGUUUAAUUCGAUGCAACGCGAAGAACCUUACCUGGUCUUGACAUAGUAAGAACUUUCCAGAGAUGGAUUGGUGCCUUCGGGAACUUACAUACAGGUGCUGCAUGGCUGUCGUCAGCUCGUGUCGUGAGAUGUUGGGUUAAGUCCCGCAACGAGCGCAACCCUUUUCCUUAUUUGCCAGCACUUCGGGUGGGAACUUUAAGGAUACUGCCAGUGACAAACUGGAGGAAGGCGGGGACGACGUCAAGUCAUCAUGGCCCUUACGACCAGGGCUACACACGUGCUACAAUGGUCGGUACAAAGGGUUGCUACCUAGCGAUAGGAUGCUAAUCUCAAAAAGCCGAUCGUAGUCCGGAUUGGAGUCUGCAACUCGACUCCAUGAAGUCGGAAUCG